CGCAGCCGCGGUAAUUCCAGCUCCAAUAGCGUAUAUUAAAGUUGUUGCAGUUAAAAAGCUCGUAGUUGAAUUUCGGGGUUCUACCGUUGGUCAGGCUAUUGUCUGUACUGGCGUGUAGAAUUUCUACCUUCUGGGGAACUAUCAUGUUAUUAAUUUAGCGUGGUAGGAAACCAGGACCUUUACCUUGAAAAAAUUAGAGUGUUCAAAGCAGGCUUAUGUCUGAAUACAUUAGCAUGGAAUAAUAAAAUAGGACGGUGGUCCUGUUUUGUUGGUUUCUGAAUCACCGUAAUGAUUAAUAGGGAUAGUUGGGGGCAUUAGUAUUCAAUUGUCAGAGGUGAAAUUCUUGGAUUUAUUGAAGACUAACUACUGCGAAAGCAUUUGCCAAGGAUGUUUUCAUUAAUCAAGAACGAAAGUUAGGGGAUCGAAAGACGAUCAGAUACCGUCGUAGUCUAACCAUAAACUNUGCCGACUAGGGAUCGGACGAUGUUAACUUUUCUUGACUUCGUCGGCGUCCUUACGG
rnacentral:rRNA from 1 species